rnacentral:rRNA from 1 species
GAUGAACGCUGGCGGCGUGCCUAAUACAUGCAAGUCGAGCGAACGGACGAGAAGCUUGCUCUUCUGAUGUUAGCGGCGGACGGGUGAGUAACACGUGGAUAACCUACCUAUAAGACUGGGAUAACUUCGGGAAACCGGAGCUAAUACCGGAUAAUAUUUUGAACCGCAUGGUUCAAAAGUGAAAGACGGUUUUGCUGUCACUUAUAGAUGGAUCCGCGCUGCAUUAGCUAGUUGGUAAGGUAACGGCUUACCAAGGCAACGAUGCAUAGCCGACCUGAGAGGGUGAUCGGCCACACUGGAACUGAGACACGGUCCAGACUCCUACGGGAGGCAGCAGUAGGGAAUCUUCCGCAAUGGGCGAAAGCCUGACGGAGCAACGCCGCGUGAGUGAUGAAGGUCUUCGGAUCGUAAAACUCUGUUAUUAGGGAAGAACAGAUGUGUAAGUAACUGUGCACGUCUUGACGGUACCUAAUCAGAAAGCAACGGCUAACUACGUG